rnacentral:lncRNA from 1 species
AACCCGAGCCUGCUGGAUGCUACUUAGGUGCUCUAACCACUAGGCUAGAGGCCCUUUCACUUAGGAUCCGUCUCUUGACCUAGGUCAUAUAUAUAGCCAUAAUACUUUUUCUAUUAGUGAAUCUUUUGAAUCAGCCAAACAAACAUCAAACCAAUUAUAACUGAUUAUAGUUGCUAAACAAAUCAAAUCAAACCAUUAUACAUCUCACCCCAUCGCCCA